GUGCCAGCCGCCGCGGUAACACCGGCAGCCCGAGUGAUGGCCGAUAUUAUUGGGCCUAAAGCGUCCGUAGCUGGCCGAGCAAGUUCGUCGGGAAAUCCACGCGCCUAACGUGUGGGCGUCCGGCGAAAACUGUUCGGCUUGGGACCGGAAGGCUCGAAGGGUACGUUCGGGGUAGGAGUGAAAUCCCAUAAUCCCGCACGGACCACCGAUGGCGAAAGCACUUCGAGAAAACGGAUCCGACAGUGAGGGACGAAAGCCAGGGUCUUCAACCGGAUUAGAAACCUUAGUCC
rnacentral:rRNA from 1 species